rnacentral:rRNA from 1 species
GCCUAAAAUCCAGCCUAAUUAUUAACCUCAUAUAAACUAUUCACUACCACCCUCCAAUAAAACAUUUUCUUAGUCCAGUAGAGGCGAUUAAAAGACUUAUUAGCGCUUUAUUACUAGUACCGCAAGGGAAAAAUGAAAUAGUUUUGAAACAGCCUUAAAGCUAAAUACAGCAAAGAUUACCACUUGUACCUUUUGCAUCAUGGUUUAGCCAGUCUUCAUCAAGCAAAAAGAAAUAUUAGUUUGACCUCCCGAAACUAGACGAGCUACUUUAAAACAGCUUUAUAGAGCCAACCCGUCUCUGUUGCAAAAGAGUGGGAUGAUUUUUAAGUAGAGGUGAAAAGCCUACCGAGCCUAGAGAUAGCUGGUUACUUAGGAAAGGAAUCUUAGUUCAGCCUCAACUCUCCCAAUUAAUUCAAUAAAUACCCUAGACUUGAGAGCUAAUCAAAUAAGGCACAGCUUAUUUGAUCACGGAUACAGCCUAUAAUAAAGGGUAAAAAUUUUAAACACCGGUUAAGUAGGCUUAGAAGCAGCCACCUUUAAGAAAACGUUAAAGCUCCACCUCUCCCACAUACACAAUGCCUUAAUUCACCUUAAACCCUUUCUUACUACUAAGUAGUUUUAUAAUCUAUAAAAGCCCUUAUGCUAAAACUAGUAACAAGAAAUUGAAUUUCUCCUAAAUACAAGCAUAAACCAAAAUGGACAGACCAUUGGUAAUUAACGUUAAUGAGCCUACUAUAACAACACUCAAGCAAACAUUAUAAUCCUCACGCGUUAACUUAACACAAAUGUAUUACAGAAAAGAUUAACAAAAAGGGAAGGAACUCGGCAAAUUAUAGCCCCGCCUGUUUACCAAAAACAUCGCCUCUUGAUUGACAUAAGAGGUCUAGCCUGCCCAGUGAUAAACUUAAACGGCCGCAGUACCCUGACUGCGCAAAGGUAGCAUAAUCAUUUGUUCUUUAAAUAAGGACCUGUAUCAACGGCAUCACGAGGGCUAUACUGUCUCCCCUCUUUAAUCAGUGAAACUGACUUCCCCGUGAAGAGGCGGGGAUAAACAUACAAGACGAGAAGACCCCAUGGAGCUUUAAACCAAUAAUAACCUUUAUCCCCUCACUCCUGCAAAGAUAUAAAAACAUUAUAUAUUGGUUUUAGGUUGGGGCAACCACGGAGUAAAACUUAACCUCCUUGACGAAUGAAUUAAAUCCUAAUCUAAGAGCCACUGCUCUAAUAAUCAACAAUUUGACGUAACAUGAUCCGAUAAUCGAUCAACGAACCAAGUUACCCUGGGGAUAACAGCGCAAUCCAUUUCAAGAGCUCCUAUCGACAAAYGGG